rnacentral:rRNA from 1 species
AGAGUUUGAUCAUGGCUCAGGACGAACGCUGGCGGCGUGCUUAACACAUGCAAGUCGAACGAGGUCCAACCAAUGGCAACAUUGGGGAAGACCUAGUGGCGAACGGGUGAGUAACACGUGAGGAACCUGCCCCGAAGACCGGGAUAACCCUCCGAAAGGAGAGCUAAUACCGGAUACCCCCAUCUGAUCGCAUGGUCGGAUGAGGAAAUGGAUUCCGCUUCGGGAGGGCCUCGCGGCCUAUCAGCUUGUUGGCGGGGUAACGGCCCACCAAGGCAUCGACGGGUAGCUGGUCUGAGAGGACGAUCAGCCACACUGGGACUGAGACACGGCCCAGACUCCUACGGGAGGCAGCAGUGGGGAAUCUUGCGCAAUGGGCGAAAGCCUGACGCAGCAACGCCGCGUGGGGGAUGAAGGCUCUCGGGUUGUAAACCCCUUUCAGCAGGGACGAAACUGACGGUACCUGCAGAAGAAGCCCCGGCCAACUACGUGCCAGCAGCCGCGGUAACACGUAGGGGGCAAGCGUUGUCCGGAUUUAUUGGGCGUAAAGAGCUCGUAGGUGGUUCGGUAAGUCGGGUGUGAAACCUCCAGGCUCAACCCGGAGACGCCACCCGAUACUGCUGUGACUGGAGUCCGGUAGGGGAGCGUGGAAUUCCUGGUGUAGCGGUGAAAUGCGCAGAUAUCAGGAGGAACACCAGCGGCGAAGCGGCGCUCUGGGCCGGUACUGACACUGAGGAGCGAAAGCGUGGGUAGCAAACAGGAUUAGAUACCCUAGUAGUCC